UACGAAGGGGGCUAGCGUUGCUCGGAAUCACUGGGCGUAAAGCGCACGUAGGCGGCUUUCUAAGUCAGGGGUGAAAUCCUGGAGCUCAACUCCAGAACUGCCUUUGAUACUGGAGAGCUUGAGUCCGGGAGAGGUGAGUGGAACUCCGAGUGUAGAGGUGAAAUUCGUAGAUAUUCGGAAGAACACCAGUGGCGAAGGCGGCUCACUGGGUCAUUACUGACGCUGAGGCACGAAAGCGUGGGGAGCAAACAGG
rnacentral:rRNA from 1 species